GCGGAUGUAGCCAAGUGGUCCA
rnacentral:tRNA from 1 species